rnacentral:rRNA from 1 species
AACGAACGCUGGCGGCAGGCCUAACACAUGCAAGUCGAGCGAGGACUUCGGUCCUAGCGGCGGACGGGUGAGUAACGCGUGGGAACGUGCCCUUUGCUUCGGAAUAGCCCUGGGAAACUGGGAGUAAUACCGGAUGAGCCCUUGGGGGAAAGAUUUAUCGGCGAAGGAUCGGCCCGCGUUGGAUUAGGUAGUUGGUGGGGUAAUGGCCUACCAAGCCGACGAUCCAUAGCUGGUUUGAGAGGAUGAUCAGCCACACUGGGACUGAGACACGGCCCAGACUCCUACGGGAGGCAGCAGUGGGGAAUCUUAGACAAUGGGGGAAACCCUGAUCUAGCCAUGCCGCGUGAGCGAUGAAGGCCUUAGGGUUGUAAAGCUCUUUCAGCUGGGAAGAUAAUGACGGUACCAGCAGAAGAAGCCCCGGCUAACUCCGUG